GUAGUCCUAGCUGUAAACGGUGCGCAUUUGCUGUAAACGGAAUCGACCCCGUUUGUGGCGAAGCUAACGCGAUAAAUGCGCCGCCUGGGAAGUACGGUCGCAAGAUUAAAACUCAAAGAAAUUGACGGGGGCCUGCACAAGCGGUGGAGUAUGUGGCUUAAUUCGAUGCAACGCGAAGAACCUUACCUGGCCUUGACAUGCAAGUAGUAGAACCAUGAAAGUGGGACGAGCCCGCAAGGGCAGCUUGCACAGGUGCUGCAUGGCUGUCGUCAGCUCGUGUCGUGAGAUGUUGGGUUAAGUCCCGCAACGAGCGCAACCCUUGUGUCCUGUUGCCACUCCUUCGAGAGAAGGAAGCACUCUGGACAGACUGCCUCGCUUAAACGAGGA
rnacentral:rRNA from 1 species